UACGGAGGGUCCAAACGUUGUCCGGAAUCACUGGGCGUAAAGCGCAUGUAGGUGGUUUAGUAAGUGGAUGAUUAAAGACCGACGCCUAACGUCGGAACAGUUAUUCAUACUGCUAGACUGGAGUAUGGCAGGGGUAAGCGGAACUUUAGGUGUAGGAGUGAAAUCCGUAGAUAUCUAAAGGAACACCAAUGGCGAAGGCAGCUUACUGGGCCAUUACUGACACUGAGAUGCGAAAGUGUGGGGAGCAAACGGG
rnacentral:rRNA from 1 species